rnacentral:rRNA from 1 species
ACGUUAGCGGCGGACGGGUGAGUAACACGUGGGUAACCUACCUAUAAGACUGGGAUAACUUCGGGAAACCGGAGCUAAUACCGGAUAAUAUUUCGAACCGCAUGGUUCGAUAGUGAAAGAUGGUUUUGCUAUCACUUAUAGAUGGACCUGCGCCGUAUUAGCUAGUUGGUAAGGUAACGGCUUACCAAGGCGACGAUACGUAGCCGACCUGAGAGGGUGAUCGGCAACACUGGAACUGAGACACGGUCCAGACUCCUACGGGAGGCAGCAGCG